GGAGCUUGCCAAGAGCAGAGAUCGCGCCACUGCACUCCAGCCUGGGUGACAGAGCGAGACUCCGUCUCAAAAAAAAAAAAAAAAAGAAGUUUUUAUCAGGGAUUUUUAAACUGUUAUUGCAUGUUAAAGAUAUCCAUAUGCCCAAUAAAUGACUCUUACUUAUUCAACUCAUAGGAAUGUGUUUAUUUCAAUGAUGGAAAUACAGACAUGAUUGCACAGGAAGAUAAAGUGGGCAUGUAACAUGGCUUCAGAUGUUAGAAAAUUUUUGCAUGGAUAAAUUAUCUUGUGACUGCUAUGUUGGUGUAGUUACUUAUUUCAAGAAAAAAAUUAUCAGCAAGAACAAUAUACAUUGUAAAAGAGACCUUGGAUUUUUGUUUAUUUAUUAUAGGCACCAUGAGUUUGCCAAAAUUAAAACAAUCUUAGUGUGUAUAAGUGCAGUAACGUUGUUGCACAGGAUAGAGAUAAUAAUUCUAUGAUAAUCUACAAUGGCAUUUUUAUAUUUGAAAUUCUAUGUUCAGCCUUUAGACAUUAAUAUUUAUUGACAAAUGACAACUUAGUGAAAAAUAUACAGACUAUUGGUGUAUUAGUCUGUUCUCAUGCUGCUAAUAAAGACAUAUCUGAGACUUGGUAAUUUUAAAGGAAACAGGCUUAAUUGACUCACAGUUCUGCAGGGCUGGGGAGGCCUCAGGAAACUUACAAUCAUGGUGGAAGGGAAAGCAAACAUGUCCUUCACAGGGCAGCAGAAAGGAGAAGUUCCAAGUGAAAGUGGAGAAAGCCCCUUAUAAAACCAUCAGAUCUCAUGAGAACUCACUCACUAUGGUAAGAACAGCAGCACGGGGGUAACCAACCCCAUGAUUCAAUUACCUCCCACUAGGUCCCACCCUCAACAUGGGAUUAUGGGAACUACAAUUCAAGAUGACAUUUAGGUGGGGACACACCCAAACCAUAUCAAUUGGAAAGACUUGGACUUUCUCAUAUGUCAUAUGAGAAAUAGUUGAAGACUCAAAGGUUGCUAAACUGAUGAAAUGGAAAGUCUUGAGAAUACACUAUAGCUACCCUAAAUAAUGCAAUAGCUGUUAAAAUGACACAGCAAAAAAAGUGUGACUCUUAAUAAUAUAUCUAGGACAAACUAGUGGCUAUUUUAAUAAAAAGACUGUUAUUGGUUAUUGACCAUUGCUUUAGGUACAAUUAUAUACAGUGAAACACAUAUCUUAGGUGAAUUAGAUAGAUAUCUAAUGAGAAACACCAUUAGAUGAAUUUGACAGGUAUAUGCACUAAUGUAACAAACACACCAAUCAAGAUACAGUGUUAUUUCCAUCACAACAGAAAGUUGCCCUAUGACCACUUCCAGUCAAGUCCUAUUAACAUUGGCAAGCACUAUUCUGAUUUCUAUUACCAUAAAUUAGUUUGUGUGUGUGUUUUUAAUUUUAUAUAAAUGGAAUAAUACAUUAUGCACUAUUCUGUGUCAAAAAUCUUUUGCAGUUCAUUCUUCUUUACUGCUGUAUAGCAUAACACUGCAUUAAUGUUUAUUUAUUUAUUAUUUUUGUUCUAUCUUUUUUCCGUAGCAAAUUAUUACAAAACAAAAAUUGCCACCUCUCAGGGUCUGAGGGUUGCCUGGCUUAGCUGGAGAGUAUUCACUCAGGGUUUCUUCGGCAAUCACAGUAAGAUCGAAGCUGGGAUUGGAUAUCCCAAUUGGCUCAUUCACACAAGUGGCUGUGGAUGCUGAAUAUUGGCUGGGUUCUUAGCUGGGAGUGUCAACCAGUGUGCCUACACAUGGCUUUUCCAUGUGGCUUUGGCUUCUAUAGUAUAGGAGCUAGGAUCUGUAAGAGAAUAUAUCAAGAGACAGUGUUAUAAGGGACCAAAAAGAAAGCUGCAAGGAUUCUUUUGAAUUCAGAUUAGAAAUCAUAAAGCUUCACAAUUGGUGUAUUAUAUCAGUCAAAAUCAAAUCACAAGACCAGCACAAAUUCAAGGAAGGGGAACACAUAAGGACAGGGAUAACAGAAGGCGUGGUUUGUUGGGCAGUCAUCUUUAUGAACAAGUGACCACGUCAUUUUAUUGUUGAUUGAUUGUUUCCAGUUUUUGUUUAUUAUUGAUAAAGCUGCCUGGGUCAUUAUUAUAUAGGACCUUUUGAGGAUAUAUAUCUCAUUUCUCUUAAGUAUACACCUAGAAGUGUAAUGGCAUAGAAUAGGUACAGUUAAAAUAUAAAAGAAAAUACCAAUAGUUGUUCCAAAGCAGUUUUUACAAUUUUAAACCCCCAUCAGCAAUAUAUGAGAAUUUAGUUUCUCCACAUCCUUACCAAUAUUUUAUGUUAUGUGUCUUUUUAAUUUUAGUCAACCUACUAGGUAUGAACUAAAAUCUCAUCGUCAUUUUAACUAUAAUUUCCCUGGUGAAUAAUGAUCCUGAGGAUAUUUUAUGAGUUUAUUACUCAAUUAUAUAGUUUCCUUUGUGAAGUGUCUGUUUAAGUUAUUUUGUCCAUUCCUAUCUUUUUAUCUUUUUAUUCAGUUGUAGGAGGUUUCUGUAUAUUUUGAGUAUGAGUCCUUUGUCAGAUAGAUGUGUUGUGAAUAAUUUCUCCCAUUCUACAGAUCUUGUUUACAUUUUAUUAAGGAUAUUUUUUGAUGUUCAAAAGAUUUUAUUUUUGAUGAAGACUAAUAUAUUUGUUGUUGUUGUUUGGUAUAUGAUAAAUAUCGCAAGUACCCACAUUGCAAGCAAUUCUCUUAUUAUUUUUCAACGUUUCAUUAUUUUUCCUUUGAAAACACACAUAUUAAAAUAAAUAAUUCACACAUUUUAUAGAAUUGUGUUUUUUGAAAUGCUAUAUUUUAUGGAGCACUAAAAUGAAUUUGACAUCAACACAUUCAGGACCCCUGCACUAAACAGUACCAAGAUAUCAGCUGUCACUACUGUGUCAUGGAGAUUCACCCCUAAAAAUAUCUCACUCGAAAAUAAAGGAAUCAUUUUCAGAAGAACAAUGAAAUGAAAACUUGUUUUUUUAAGAGAAAGAAAAUGGACAAACCUUUAGCUAGACUAAGAAAAAAAAGAGAGAAAACCCAAAUAAAUAAAAUCAAGAAAAAGAGGACUUUAUAACUGAGACCUCAGAAAUAUAAAGAAUCAUUAGAGACUAUGACUAACAAUUUUACAUCAACAAAUUAAAAUACCUGGAUGAAACUGAUAAAUUCCUGGACAUACAACCUAUCAAUAUCGAACCAUGAAGAAAUAGAAAAACGUCAAUAAACCAAUAAUGACAUAUGAGAUCUAAGCCAUAAGAUCUCCAAUCAAAAAGAAGUCCAAGACUUGAUAGCUUCACUGGUGAAUACUACUAAAUAUUUAAAGAACUAAUAUCAAGUCUACUGAAGCUUAAAAAAAUAAUAAUAAAUGGUAGGGAAUUUUCCCCAACUUAUUCUAAAAGACCAGCAUUACCCUGACACCAAAAUCAAUCAAGAGCACAAAAAAUGAAAGAAAAUUACAGGCCAAUAUCACUGAAGAACAUAUUUGCAAAAAUGCAAAAAUGUUCAACAAAAUACUAGGAAGCUUAAUUCAACAAAACAUUUAAAAAAUCAACCACCAUUAUCAAGUGAAAUUCAUCUCAGGUUUACAAACAGGGUUUAACAUGUGCAAGUCAAUAAACAUGAGACAUGACAUCAACAGAGCAAAGAACAACAAAAAAAAGAUUGCUUCAAUAGAUGCUGAAAAAGCAGCUGAUAAAAUUCAACAUAUUGGUAUAAUAAAAAUACUUAGCAAACUGGAUUUAAAAAGAACAUACCUCAAGACAAUGAAGGCCAUAUAUGACAAAACAAACCCACAGCCAACAUCAUAUUGAAUAGGGAAAAAUAGAAAACCUUAUCUAAAAUCUGAAACAAGGCAAGAAAGCUAAAAUUUACCAUUUUUAUUCAACUUAAUAGAGUUAACUAGGCAAGUUAACUCUAUUCAACUUAAUAGAGUUAACAACUUAACAGAGUUACUAGGCAAGACAGAGAAAUAAAGAGCAUUCAAACUGGAAAAGAAUAAGUCAAAUUAAAUUUGUAAGCAGGCAACAUGGUCUUACAUUUAGAAAAACCUAAAAAUUCAAAAAAACUGUUAGAACUGGUCAAUGAAUUUAGUAACGUUGCAGGAUACAAAAUCAACAUAACAAAAAUCAGUAGCAUUUAUAUAUGCCAGCAGUAAAUAUCUGAAAAGAAAUCAAGAAACUAAUUUCUUUUACAAUAACUUCAAGUACACAAAAUAACUAUGAAUCAAUUUAACCAAAGAUGUGAAAAAUCUAUACAAAGAAAAUUAUAAAAUAGUGACUAAAGACAUUAAAGAGGAAACACAAAAAAUGAAAAUACAUUUUAUGCUCAUGGACUGCAUAAAUUAAUAUUAUUAAAAUAAAAAUACUACCCUGAGCAAUCUACAGAUUCAACGUAAUUCCUAUCCCAAUACCAGUGAUAUUCUUCACAGAAACAGAAAAAAAUUAUAAAAUUCAUAGCGAACAAAAACAAAGAUUUAGCCAAAGCAAUGUUGAGCAGAAAGAACAAAGCUUCAGGCAUCAUGCUACCUGAAUUUAGAAUAUUCUAGAAAAUUAUAGUAACCAAAACAAAUGGUACUGGCAUAAAAACAGACACAUAGACCAAUGGAACAGUUUCCAGAUAUAAACAAAACAAAACUGGAGGUAUCACACUACUUAACUUAUAAAUGUACUAUGAAACUAUAGUAACCAAAACAAGAUGGUACUGACAUAAAAACAGUCCCACAGACCAAUGGAACACAAUAGAGGUCCAAGAUAUAAAUCUAUGUAUUAACAGCCAACGUAUUUUUGACAAAGGUACCAAGAAUAUACAAUGAGGAAAGGACAUUCUCUUCAAUAGAUGGUGCUUGGAAAACUGGAUAACAUAUGUGGAAAAAUGAAGCUAGACUUCUAUCUCUCACCAUAUGUAAAAAGCAAAUGAAAAAUGGAUUAAGGAAUUACAUCUAACACCCGAAACUAUGAAACUACUAAAAACAGACUUUAGGGAAACACACCAAGACAUUAGUCUUGAUAGAGAUUUUUUUGUGAACAAUCUCAAAUCACAAGGAACAAAAGCAAAAAUAGAUAAAUGUAAUUGCAUUAAGCUAAAAAGCUUCUGCACAGAAAAAAAUCACCAAAAUGAAGAGACAACUCAAAGAAUACAAUAAAAUAUUUGCAAACUAUCCAUCUGACAAAUAAUUAAUAACCUGAGUAUUUAAGGGGCUCAAAGAACUAAAUAGCAAAAAAAAAAAAAAAAAAAACCCUCAAAACACAAACAAAAAAAAUAAUUUGGUUAAAAAAUGAGCAAAUGAUCUGAAUAGACAUCUCUGAAAAGAAUACAUACAAAUGACCAUCAAGUAUAUUUAAAAUUUGCUCAUCAUUCAUCAUUAAAGAAAUGCACAUCAAAACAAAAUGUCAUUUCACCCUAGUUAAAAUGCCUUUUAUCAAAGGCAGGGAAUAAUAGAUGCUGAGGAGGAUGUGGAGAAAGAGGACACUUGUAUACUUUUGGUGGGAACGUAAAUUGGUUGAUCCACUAUGGAAAAUGGUAUUAUGGUUCCCCAAACAACUAAAAACAGAACUACCAUAUGAUCCAGUAAUUCUACUACUGGGCAUAUAUCCAAAAGAAAAAAAAAUAUCAAAGAGAUAUAGGUACACCCAUGUAUAUUACAUCACUAUUCUUGAUAGCCAAAUAUGGAAUCAAUUUAAGUGUCCAUAAACAGAUGAAUAGAUAAAUAAAAGCUGAGGUGAGCAGAUCACGAGGUCAGGAGAUCGAGACCAUCCUGGCUAACACGGUGAAACUGUCUCAAACAAAAAAAAAAAAGAAAGUGAUAUGGCAUAUACACAAGACAUUAUCCAGCCAUAAAAAAUAAUGAAAUCCUUUCCUUUGCAGUGGCAUCAGUGGAACUGCAGGUCAUGAUGUUAGAUGAAAGAAGACAAGAACUGAAAGACAAAUAUCUCAUGUUCUCACUCAGACCUGGAAGAAAAAAUAAUGCAUAUCCAUGGAAUCAACCCAAAUUCCCAUCAAUGAUAGACCUGAUAAAGCAAAUGUGGUACAUAUAUAACAUAGAAUACUAUUCAGCCAUAAAAAUGAACAAGAUCAUGUCCUUUGAAGAGACAUGAAUGGAGCUGGAAGCCAUUGUCCUCAGCAAACACAGGAACACAAAACCAAAGAUCGCAUGUUCUUAGUUAUAAGUGGGAGCUGAACAAUGAAAACACAUGGAUACAGGGAGGAGAACAACAUACACUGGGGCCUGUCAUCGAAGGGAGGGGAGGGAGUACAUCAGGAUAAAUAGCUAAUGCAUGUGGGGCUUAAUAUCUAGGUGAUGGAUUGACAGGUGCAGCAAACCACCAUGGCACACGUUUUCCUAUGUAACAAACCUGCACGUCCUGCACAUGUAUCUUGUAACUUAAAAUAAAGUAAAACUUUUUAAAAAAGUGCAUAUCACGAAAGUAGAGGGUAGGCUGGUGGUGUUAGAGUCCAGGAAAGAUAGGGAAAUAGGAGGGAUAAUGAGAGGUUAAUUAAUGUGUACAAAUAUUCAUUUAAGUAGGAGAAAUAAGACCUGGUGUUUGAUAGCUCAGUAGAGUGAUUAUAAUUACUAUUAGUCAAUUGUACAUUUCAAAAUAUCUAGAAAAGAAUAUUUCUAAUGUUCCUAGCAUAAAUAAGUUUAUAGGUAUCUCAAUUACCCUCAGUUGAUUAUCUGAACGUAUCAAAUAAUCAAAUAUACCAUAAAAAUAUGUACAUCAAAUAGAUAUCAAUUUAAAAAUCUAACAAUGAAGAAUAUUUCACUUUGAUUGUUGUAACCAGUUAAUCAUCUGUGAUUUUUUAAAUAGAAAUAUUUACUUUAUUAUUAUUAUUAUUAUUAGUUUAUUUUUUGAGACAGGGUCUUGCUCUGUCACCUAGGCUGCAGUUCAAUGGUGCAAACACAGCUCACUGUAACUUUGACUCCUGGGCUCAAGUGAUCCUCCACCUUAGCCUCUCAACUAGCUGAAACUACAGGUACAUGCCACCAUGACUAACUAAGAUUUUGUCCUUUUUGUAGAGAUGAGGUCCUGCUAUGUUGCCCAGGCAGAUCUUGAACUCCUGGCUUCAAUUGAUCCACCCAUCUGGACCUCAAAAAGUGCUGGGAUUACAGGCAUGAGCCAGUAGGACUGGCCAUAAGUAGUUAAGUUUAAAAGUGAGUGGCUAUACAAGGGAUCCCAAGAAAAUGGGUUAAUCCAGUUUGAGAUAGAGUAGGUAGAGAAGACCUUGACAUACCUUGUAAUGCUAGAAAAUAAGAAUGUGAUCAAAAAAUGAUUAGGGCAUGUCACAAAGACAAAGAAGCCAAAUCUGGGAUAAUAUGAGUACACACGUAAUUAGAGUAAAUAUUUAAACAUUUCCAAGAUGGUAAUUAUUUAUACAUUUACAAAAAUCCAUUUAUUCAAAGUUGGAAAUCAUUUAUAUAUUUAUUAUCUGCAUAGAGAUAACAAUAAUAAAUAGGUAUAGAAAAAAGACAAUUAUACAGUAUGAAAUAAUAAAUAUAUAAAUAAAUAAAUAAUGGGGAGGGGAAUGCUCUUGUUUUACAGUAACAUUGCUAUCAUAAAUGUGUAUCAACACUGACUUGAUAGAUAUUGUAUACUUCCAGGCGUGUUACUCCAAAAAGGACACAACUUCACUUUUAUAGCAUUUUUUCAAAAAUAUAUAGUCUGGUUCUAAUCUUGUAAAAACAACGAACAGGGGAGCAAUCUUCUUCCAAAAAAGAACACUAUAAAAGAAAAAAUAAGAUGUGUACAUAUUCCAGAUUUUAAAAGGCAAAAUUUUUGACUAAUAAAUGAAAUACUUGACCUGAUACCAUAUUCGAUAUUGGAGGACAAAUGUAGCAAAGAAGUAUUUGGGAAUUAAAAUCUAUGUAACUUACUCUAAAAUGGUACAGAGAUAUAGAUAGAUAGAUGGAGCUAGAGUAGAAAUAGAGAUAUGAUUUAUGCAAGUUAUUUUCAUAUAGAUGAAAGAGAGAAGAAUGAUAAAAUAUUAACAAUAGGUGAAUCUGUGUUUAGGUACGUAAACAUAUGUUUCUCAUUUUUCCAACUGUUUUAAAAUUUUAAAUUACCUCAACAUUUUAAAAAGUUAAAAAAGUGAUCUGCAGGCCAGGUGCGGUGGGGUGGCUCAUGCCUGUAAUCCCAGCAAUUUAAGAGGCAGAGGCAGGCGGAUCACGAGGUCAGGAGUUCAAGACCAGCCUGCCCAGCAUGGUGAAACCCCAUCUCUAUUAAAAAUACAAAAAAUUACCCGGGCUUGGUGUAGAGCGCCUAUAAUCCCAGCUACUCAGGAGGCUGAGGCAGGAGAAUUGCUUGAAUCUGGGAGGUGAAGUCUGUAGUGAGCUGAAAUAGCACCACUGCACUCCAGCCUGGAGACAGAGCAACCUCUGUCUCAAAAAAAAGAAAAAAAGAAAAAAAAAAACUGCAGAGAAGUAAAGGUACAUGCUGUCAUUGUAAUUAUCAGUAUAACCAAGAGACAAAACUAAAAAGAAAAUUUUAAGUAAGGAGAUGAGUUGGGAGGGUGAUAUCACUGAUUUAAAUCCACAUCUAUUCUAGCAGGAGGUUAAGAAGAAGAAAAAAUAAAACUCUAAGCUCUAAACUCUAACAAACCAAAACCAAAUCACAACAUCACCAUAUUUUGGGGUAUCAGUGUUUACAGCCAAAGAGCUGCUCUCUUUCAGAAGCAGCAAUAUGAAUGGGAAAGAUUUAGACAAGGCACUACUGCACUUCACUGAAUCAUUAUUAUAAAUCUAAAUAUAUACGCAUAUACUCAAAAGCAAUCAAACUAUUCUGAAAGAUGGUGGUGGCCAUGGAGACAGAGAGAUGUGAAUUAUUUGAAAUAUAUUUGGGAAACUACAUUGAUAGAAAUUGGAAGCAAUGAGUGAAGUAAAAUCAGGCCUCUGACUUGGGGAAGCUGGGAGGAGAAUGGUAUGAUUCUCUAAGUUGGGAAACACCACAGAAGACAUAUUGUGAAGAGAAAUAAAACAAUUUAGUAUUCAAUCUACUGAAUUUCUGUUAUGUUUGAGGACAGGCAUUUCUUUUAGGAAGUUAGUAAUAUAGUUUGGAUAUUUUUUUCAUGCACAGAUCUCAUGUUUAAUUGUAAUUUUCAGUGCUGGAAGUGGGGCCUGGUGGGUGGUGUUUGGAUAAUGGAAGUGGAUCCCUCAUGGCUUAGUGCUGUCUUCAUGUUGGUGAGUUCUCAUGAGAUCUGGUCAUUUAAAAGUUUGUGGCCCCUCCCCACCCAACUUUCUCUCUGGCUCCUGCUUUUGUCAUGUGGUAUGCCUACUCUCAUUUGCCUUCCACCAUGAUUGUAAGCUUUCUGAGGCUUCCCUAAAAGCAGAUUUUGGCAUUAUGCUUUCUGUACAGCCUGCAGAACGAUAAGCCAAUUAAACCUCUUUUCUUAUAAAUUAUCUAGUCUCAGGAAUUUCUUUACAGGAAUGCAAGUAUUGCCUAAUACAGAAAAAUGGUGCUGAUGAAUGGGGCAUUGCUAUAAAGGUACCUGAAAAUGUGGAAAAGACUUUAGAACUGAGUAAUGGGCAGAGGUUGGAAGAGUUUGGAGGGCUCAGAAGAAGAUAGGAAGAGGAGGAAAAGUUUAGAACUCCUUAGAGAACUGGUUAAAUGGUUGUGAUCAAAACGCUGAUGGUAAUAUGGACAAGUGAAGUCUAGGCCAAAGAGGUCUCAGAUGUAAAUGAGAAAACUACUGGGAACUAGAGCAAAGGUCAUACAUGUUAUGCCUUAGCCAAGAGCUUGGCUGCAUUCUGUUGUUGCUGUAGGGAUCUGUGGAAGUUUGAACUUAAGAGUAAUGAUUUAGGAUAUCUAGCAGAAGGAAUUUCUAAGCAGCAAAACAUUCAAGAUUUGACCUGGCUGCUUCUAACAACACACUCUCAGAUCAGGGAGCUAAAAAAAUGGUGUAAAGCUGGAAUUUAUAUUUAAAAGUUAAGCAAAGCAUUAAAAAUUUGGAAAAUUUGCAGUCUGGCCAAGUGGCAAAGAAAGAAAAAGCUUUUUCAGGGGAGGAAUUGAAACAGGCUGUGGAACAACCACUUAUGUAAAAGAUUUAUGUAAAUAAAAAGGAGCCAAGUGCUAAUAUCUAAGACAAUAAAGAAAAGGUCUCAAAGGUUUUUGGGAGACCUUUGGGACAGCCCAGAGGCCUAGAAGGAAAUAAUGGUUUUGUGGGCCCGUCACAGGGGCUCUCUUCCCUCCUCAGCCUUGGGACACUGUUCCUUGCCUCCUGGCAGCUUCAGCACUAGCCAGGGCUCAACAGGGAACAGGUGCAGCUUAGAAUGCCACUUUGGAGAAUGCAAGCCAUAGCCUUGGUGACUUCCACAUAGUGUUAAGCCUCUAGGUGCACAGAAUGCAAGAGUGAAGAAUACUUGUCAGCCUCUGCCUAGAUUUCAGAAGAUGUAUGAGAAAGUCUGGGUGCCCAGGCAAAAGCCUGCUGCAGGAUUAGAACCUUCACAGGGAACCUCUACUAGGGCAGUUCCAAGGGGAAAUGAAGGAUUGGAAGCCCACACAGAGUCCCCUAUGAGGCACUGCAUAGUGGAACUGUGAAAGGAGGGUCAUCAUCUUCCAACCCCAGCAGCUUUCAUCCUGCAUCUGGAAAAGCCACAGCACUCAACAACCUGUGAGAUCAGCCUAGGGUGCAGAACCCUGCAAAGUCACAGGGACAGAGUUGCCCAAAGCCUGGGGAGCCCAUCCCUUGCAACAGUGUGCUCUAGAUGUAGGAUAUGGAGUCAAAGGAGAUUAUUUUGGAGUCUUAAGAUUUAAUGAGCAAGCCUGGCGCGGUG
rnacentral:lncRNA from 1 species